rnacentral:rRNA from 1 species
AAGAAGGCUUUCGGGUUGUAAACCUCUUUCAGGAAGGGACGAAGCUACUCGGGUUAAUAGCCCAGAGGGUGACGGUACCUCCAAGAAGAAGCCCCGGCUAACUACGUGC